UGGGGUUUAGCUCAGUAAUAGAGCACUUGCCUAGCAUGUGUGAAACUCUGGGUUCAAUUCCCAAAACCAAAA
rfam:Ictidomys tridecemlineatus contig017078, whole genome shotgun sequence.